GACAGAGGUGCCGAGCGUUAGGCGGAAUCACUGGGCUUAAAGCGUGUGUAGGCGGGCGAUCAAGUACCUUGUGAAAUCCCACGGCUCAACCGUGGAACCGCUGGGUAUACUGGUUGUCUUGAGCCGGCUAGGGGCGAGCGGAACAGACGGUGGAGCGGUGAAAUGCGUAGAUAUCGUCUGGAACGCCGAAGGUGAAAACAGCUCGCUGGGGCCGCGCUGACGCUGAGACACGAAAGCCAGGGGAGCGAAACGGG
rnacentral:rRNA from 1 species